rnacentral:tRNA from 1 species
UCCGGGGUCGUUCAACUUGGUAGGACAGCGGGUUUUGGUCCCGUGAAUAGGGGUUCGAAUCCUCUCCCCGGAGCCA